ensembl:rRNA 5S_rRNA 5S ribosomal RNA
UUUUCAACCACUGGAAUCCCAAAUCUCAUCUGGUCUCAGAAGCUAAGCAAGAUUUGGUUUGGUAAGUACUUGGAUGAGAGACCGCCAGGCAAAUCCAGGUGCUAGAAGAU